CAAUGUGUAAUGAUCAAAUCAGAGUAUGCAGCUCAUCCAUCACCUCAAACAUUUAUCAUUUCUUUGUGUUGGGAACAUUUCAAACCUUCCGUUCUAGCUAUUUACACAAUGCACUUUCUAACAAACUAAAUAACGUUGAGAUAUAAAAUGAUAAUGCUAGUAAUUUUCACUCACCCUACCUACUUCACAAACAUACCUACCUUGAGUCUAUCUUUUUAGCAGAGAUAUCUCAUAUUAUUCCAUUUUUAAACACACAUAUGCCAAUAUAUAGCCAUGUAUAAGGACUUCAAAUACUUCUGUCUUAGAAAAAUGAGAUUUUAAUAACAGUUUGGCAAUUUUUGUCUUUGGAGUAUCAUUUACAUCCCAUCACAUCAAUAGUGAGAGAUACAAUUCACUUUUGAUGUUGGGUUAUACUACACGGUGUUAAUAUUUUAUAACCAAUUCAAACAUUACCUACUCUAUUGGCAUAUAUAUAUCUACUCCCAAAUCUUUUGCUACCAUUAAAAAAGUCCCUGUAGACAUACAUGUUUCUACUCAUGUUUAUUGAGUUUUUCUCUUGAAGAGAGAUCUCCUCCACUUCACACACAUAACAAAAUAGGAUUGUUAAGUCAGAGUAUGUAUAAUUUUAACUCACAGUUGUUAUAGAAUAUGUGAGACUACAUUUCUCCACAAAAUGUUCCAGUAUACAUAUUUCCCCAUUUAAUACUGGAUAUUACUAGUCUUUUAAAUUUUGUUAAUCUGAUGUUUUUUAAAAAUGAUGUUUUCUUGUGAUUUACUUACCAUGAGUUUCAGAAUAUUUUUUAUUUCCUUCUUUAUUUUAAUAAUUUUCAGUUAUCUUUUAUGGGUUGUCUUUCUUGCUUAUUGUAUCAUUUUUACUUUAACUUUUGCUGUUUUUGAAUUUAUAGUGCGGUGUGUGGGUGGGUGGAUGGGUGUGUAUACACACAAUUGUCCAUAUAGAAAUGAUGGUCCAUAUA
rnacentral:lncRNA from 10 species